rnacentral:rRNA from 1 species
GAUGAACGCUGGCGGCGUGCCUAAUACAUGCAAGUCGAGCGAACGGACGAGAAGCUUGCUUCUCUGAUGUUAGCGGCGGACGGGUGAGUAACACGUGGAUAACCUACCUAUAAGACUUGGAUAACUUCGGGAAACCGGAGCUAAUACCGGAUAAUAUUUUGAACCGCAUGGUUCAAAAGUGAAAGACGGUCUUGCUGUCACUUAUAGAUGGAUCCGCGCUGCAUUAGCUAGUUGGUAAGGUAACGGCUUACCAAGGCAACGAUGCAUAGCCGACCUGAGAGGGUGAUCGGCCACACUGGAACUGAGACACGGUCCAGACUCCUACGGGAGGCAGCAGUAGGGAAUCUUGCGAAAUGGGCGAAAGACUGAAGGAGCAACGCCGCGUGAGUGAUGAAGGUCUGCGGAUCGUAAAACUCUGUUAUUAGGGAAGAACAUAUGUGUAAGUAACUGUGCACAUCGUGACGGUACCUAAUCAGAAAGCCACGGCUAACUACGUG